GACGAACGCUGGCGGCGUGCUUAACACAUGCAGGUCGAGCGACUGCAUUCUUUUCGGAGGGUGUAUGGAGCGGCGAACGGGUGAGUAACACGUGAGUAAUCUGCCUUUGGCUUGGGAAUAACUUCGGGAAAUCGGGGCUAAUGCCUGAUGUUUACUGUCUGCUGCAUGGUGGGUGGUGGAAAGAUUUUUUGGCCAGGGAUGAGCUCGCGGUCUAUCAGCUUGNGGUGGGGUAAUGGCUUACCAAGGCUUUGACGGGUAGCCGGCCUGAGAGGGUGUUCGGCCACACUGGGACUGAGACACGGCCCAGACUCCUACGGGAGGCAGCAGUGGGGAAUAUUGCGCAAUGGGCGUAAGCCUGACGCAGCGACGCCGC
rnacentral:rRNA from 1 species